rnacentral:rRNA from 1 species
ACGAACGCUGGCCAAUUACGGCGUGCCUAAUACAUGCAAGUCGAACGCUUCUUUUUCCACCGGAGCUUGCUCCACCGGAAAAAGAGGAGUGGCGAACGGGUGAGUAACACGUGGGUAACCUGCCCAUCAGAAGGGGAUAACACUUGGAAACAGGUGCUAAUACCGACACCGCAUGGUGUUGAUUUGAAAGGCGCUUUCGGGUGUCGCUGAUGGAUGGACCCGCGGUGCAUUAGCUAGUUGGUGAGGUAACGGCUCACCAAGGCCACGAUGCAUAGCCGACCUGAGAGGGUGAUCGGCCACACUGGGACUGAGACACGGCCCAGACUCCUACGGGAGGCAGCAGUAGGGAAUCUUCGGCAAUGGAAGAACAAGAGUGAGAGUAACUGUUCACUCCUUGACGGUAUCUAACCAGAAAGCCACGGCUAACUACGUGCCAGCAGCCGCGGUAAUACGUAGGUGGCAAGCGUUGUCCGGAUUUAUUGGGCGUAAAGCGAGCGCAGGCGGGCGCGAAUCGCGCGCUCUCCUGAGAAGUUUCUUAAGUCUGAUGUGAAAGCCCCCGGCUCAACCGGGGAGGGUCAUUGGAAACUGGGAGACUUGAGUGCAGAAGAGGAGAGUGGAAUUCCAUGUGUAGCGGUGAAAUGCGUAGAUAUAUGGAGGAACACCAGUGGCGAAGGCGGCUCUCUGGUCUGUAACUGACGCUGAGGCUCGAAAGCGUGGGGAGCAAACAGGAUUAGAUACCCUGGUAGUCCACGCCGUAAACGAUGAGUGCUAAGUGUUGGAGGGUUUCCGCCCUUCAGUGCUGCAGCAAACGCAUUAAGCACUCCGCCUGGGGAGUACGUCGCGAUAUCGCGCGAUAUAUAUGCGCACCGCAAGGUUGAAACUCAAAGGAAUUGACGGGGGCCCGCACAAGCGGUGGAGCAUGUGGUUUAAUUCGAAGCAACGCGAAGAACCUUACCAGGUCUUGACAUCCUUUGACCACUCUAGAGAUAGAGCUUCCCCUUCGGGGGCAAAGUGACAGGUGGUGCAUGGUUGUCGUCAGCUCGUGUCGUGAGAUGUUGGGUUAAGUCCCCCUUAUUGUUAGUUGCCAUCAUUUAGUUGGGCACUCUAGCGAGACUGCCGGUGACAAACCGGAGGAAGGUGGGGAUGACGUCAAAUCAUCAUGCCCCUUAUGACCUGGGCUACACACGUGCUACAAUGGGAAGUACAACGAGUUGCGAAGUCGCGAGGCUAAGCUAAUCUCUUAAUAGGCUGCAACUCGCCUACAUGAAGCCGGAAUCGCUAGUAAUCGCGGAUCAGCACGCCGCGGUGAAUACGUUCCCGGGCCUUGUACACACCGCCCGUCACACCACGAGAGUUUGUAACAUCCCCGAUAUAUAGAGCGCGCCUCUCUGAAGAGAUCCUCGCCCGAAGUCGGUGAGGUAACCUUUAUGGAGCCAGCCGCCUAAGGUGGGAUAGAUGAUUGGGGUGAAG